ensembl:lncRNA
GGCCCACGGAGGGCGGAUGGCGAAGGGGAGGGGGCGACCGGGGCAAGACCCCUGGAGUGUGGGGGUGUGGGGUGCUGGGGGCCCCUGCGACCCACACUGGCCUGUCCCGUCUUCUGUCCCCAAGUGAACGGGUUCCUGUCCCUCCGCGCCCCCGCCAGGCCUCUGCUGAGGCUUUCGGGGGACCGGUCGUGGCCCCCGAGGGCAGCCCCUAGCGACCAAGGGGAGCGCGCAGGACUCGGGUCGGUGUGCCGCAGGCCGCCCCUCCCAGAGGCGCGGUGGGGACCCAGAGUAAGGGUCGGUUGGCCCUGCCGGGGAAGGGAGAAGGCGGCAGGGGCGCAGGAGAGAGGAGGCUUCGUUUGCUGAAAACUCUGCGCUUCUUGCCGGAGACCAGGCUGAGCUCUAACCAGCCCUCCGCGCGUCUCUUCCACCCACAGACGCGGCCCGGGGCGAGCCCUCACGGUGCUCUGGGUCCCACAGGUUCAGCCGGUGCACCACCCGGGAAGGAGGAACGUCCCCCGUCUCCUACUGUGGUCUCCAGGAGCUGCCGGAGGCCUCAGUCCCUCAGGACCAUCCCUCCUAGAGCCCCUCCAGGGCCAGGGGUCUGCCUAACCUGUCUGCACUUGAAGCAGAAAUGCCUCAGGGGCAGGGGGCCCGUCUCUGGCUGAGGGGCCCCUCCGUGUCCUGGCAGGGAGAUGAGGAGUGGUCCCUGGCCUCUGUGCGGUGGACCUUGGGUUCCCUUGUAGCAGUUCCCAGGCUGUCCUACUGGCAACCAGAGGAAGGAGCCAGGACUCUGCAGGUGUGGUGGCUGGGUGCUGGGUGCCACCAGGCUGACAUGAGAGGGAAGAGACAAGGCCCAACUGGGCAGCUGAAGCUGAGCCCCAGGGAGCUCCCACAGCAUCGUGGCCAGGGUGGUGCCCACCCGCCCCACAACCAUUCUGACUUCCAGUAGUAGUGACCCCCCCAUUUCUCUCUGGGAACCUCCAUCCUUCGUCCUCAUCUGUGGAGGUCUGGGUGGGACUCACCCACCCUUGCCCAGGGACGCAGGCCUUGGCCAGUCAGACCAUUUGGUCCCCUUAGGCCUCGAGGCCUUUGCUGAAGCUCGCAGGGAACGGGGAUUGCUCCACUGGAAUCCACUAGCUGGGGUGGACUGCCAGCUGUUGUCUAAAGGUGUUGUGUGGGAAGAGCUGGUCUGAGAAUGAAACCAACCCCAGGGAGAUUAAAGAAACCCCGCCAGGGUGUUUGCUCCAAAUGUCUGGAUUCAGCCUUGCCUAAAGCAAGGAUCUCCCAAACUUCAGUCACUGGAGCCAGGAAAUCUCCUUUUGUAUAAACAUUGAAACACUGGUUUUCCAAUGUUGAGACUCAGAGUCCCACUGGUUGCAGGACCACCACCCUCACCAACGUCACCUCCCACUCCUCCACCAUGACCCCUUUUCUUUCUUGGAACUCCAGGUCACUGUCUCUGCGUGACAGGCCCUCCCUGCAGAACUGAGCAUCUUCCACCAGCCCCACCUCCCACACCCUGGCUGGGCUCAGUGGGAGGGGGGAGCUCCUUGUCCCUCCCCACAACCUCCCCAGCUCGUGUGCGCACACACUCUCUCUCUCACUCUUACUCUUUCUCAAAUAAAACCUUUUUAAAAGCACA